rnacentral:rRNA from 1 species
AUUGAACGCUGGCUGCAUGCCUUACACAUGCAAGUCGAACGGUAACAGGCCUUCGGAUGCCGACGAGUGGCGAACGGGUGAGUAAUACAUCGGAACGUGCCUAGUAGUGGGGGAUAACUACUCGAAAGAGUGGCUAAUACCGCAUGAGAUCUACAGAUGAAAGCAGGGGAUCGCAAGACCUUGUGCUACUAGAGCGGCCGAUGGCAGAUUAGGUAGUUGGUGGGAUAAAAGCUUACCAAGCCGACGAUCUGUAGCUGGUCUGAGAGGACGAUCAGCCACACUGGGACUGAGACACGGCCCAGACUCCUACGGGAGGCAGCAGUGGGGAAUUUUGGACAAUGGGCGAAAGCCUGAUCCAGCAAUGCCGCGUGCAGGAUGAAGGCCUUCGGGUUGUAAACUGCUUUUGUACGGAACGAAAAGCCCCGGGUUAAUACCCUGGGGUCAUGACGGUACCGUAAGAAUAAGCACCGGCUAACUACGUGCCAGCAGCCGCGGUAA